AAGAGAGUGAGCUGCAAAUCAAAAAUUUAUAUAAGCUAUAUUAUAAAGUCAUACUCAGCAGUCAUACACACCAGUCAUAAGAUGAUAUUCAUUUGUUGAAAUAGCUCAUAGAUUUCAGUGAUAGUUCGAUUUGGUAUUUGCUUAGCCCAUACUACAAAGUGACAUCCUGAUAGAGGAGUGUAUGAAUUCAUUGCCAGAUGAAAAUCAGAAUUGUUUCAAUUUUCAUUUGUACUACAAUAAAACACAUGUACAUUAAGGCCUAUGCGCAGAAGUGUAAUAAUAUUUUGAAAAAUAACAUAAAUGUACUGAAAUUUUUAAAAUUACUAAAAGUUCAAAAAGCUUUUCAAAAUAGAAGUACCUUCAUGACCGAAGCGAGAACUUAUGAAUGACUUGUUUUCACAUUAGCUUCUCUAGUUCUUUCUUCCAACUCUUUCCUCUCCAACUAAUAGUCAAAACUAUGAAUUUGUAUCAUUGUGCUACAAGAUACAAGAUAUUUCUUUCGCUUAAGCCUUCUCUUAUCAAUAGUAAUUAUUCUUGCAGCACAAAUAUAUACUCAAGCACCUAUUAUAUAUUCAAAGUAAACAUAAAAAGCUUAACGGAGGAAAAGCAUUCACCUUGAAACCUCGUUCGUUUACUUUCUUGUAAUUGUAAGCAUAAUAGACAAGCUGACAUUUUCUUACUGUCUCUACAAUGCAACGACUCUUUGGUAGACAAAAUCUUCCAAUUAAGGAAACUUCAAUUGGCCAAACAAAAUUGUCCUGGAAAAUUGUCUUGUUCUUCUCCACAACUAAAUGCCUUCACGAUCAAAUAAAAAUAUUUUCAAUCAAAAUAACGUACACUCCUCGAGAACUCAAAAUUUUCACUAUCACAAUUCAUAGUGAGCAUUCACUGAACUGUCUUCCUUUUCCAAUAAAUUUGUCCAAAAUUCAAAUACCCAUAAACAAAAAAACUAUAUUGGCAUUUUAGUAGUUGUGACAAUCUUAGGUGAUGAGAUAGUGAAAGAAGAAAAUUUUAAUUAAUAUAGCCCUUCCUUUUUCAAACUGCUUUGAAUUUUUUAUUUUUUUAUUAAGUCGAUGUUCUAUCAGAAUCAACCUCUACUACAAUCUAUAGCUUAUAUUUGGUAGAACUAUAGUGCAAGAAAAAGGCUCUGAUUGUCAAAUGUAUCACCAAAAGAUGAGGACUUAAAAUAACAAAAGAAUCACAUGUUCCAAACUAUCAAAUUAUUUAGUACGCCAAACAUUGAUCGAUGCCAGAUCUCUUAAUUUCUUUAGUUGGCAUGGUGAUAAAAUAUAAAUGAAAUUGGUCCUUCAUGAAAGCUGGAAGAGAAGACGACAAAUAGAAGAAGAAGAGAUCCAAAGAAGAAUUAGAAAAGCUGUGUCGGAGAGUAACAAGUUCCAAAUGACGUUUUAAGAUAAUCAAGUAAGGAAAUUUAUCUCUUGUGGUGGCCACCAGUAAUGACAUGUCCCAUGCUCAAACAAACUUUAGAUUAAGCUAGCAUUUGAUCAAAAUCUUAUCUUCAAUUUUAGAGGCAUAGUUAAUAAAAACUUAUUACACAAAACAACAGAAAAAGGGUAUGUCUACUACAUACCAAUUGUUUGCUUGGUACUAUCAUGUGAUGUAUUUACUUCUUCAAAGGUUUGAAAAUCUUUCAAACGUGUCAUUAGAAAGCCGACAAUCUUAACAUUCUUGAAAUUGGAUAAUAAUGUUUGGAAUUCAACUCGGCAAAAUGAAAUUAUCUACUUUGGUGAAAUAUCUUAGCUCAAGCUGGCAAGGGGUUCGUAGAACUAGAAUUUGAUGUGUAUGUUGAGUGACUCUAAAAGAGGCGAGGUUCGCAAAAGGCUAACUACUCCAUACAUACUAUACUUUGUUACAUGCAUUUAUAGAGUUAGACAUUUGCGUCUCAAUUCUGAAAGCAUCACCCCGUCAAGUUUUUGAUAACUUAGAAUGGAGAUGUUGAAGUUAUGAACUAUAUUUGUAUGUAUAGUUCACUGAGCAAAAAAGAAAAAUCUCAAUCUUUUGUAGGAAACUUUCAUGACCUCCACACAUCAACAAGUAUAAGUGUAUAUUAUUUAGUACGUAUUAAAUAAGUUGCUUGUAAAGUUUUAAAAUAUUGUAAGGUCAAGAUCCAAAAUUAUGUAUUUAGAGUUCUUUACACACCCAUGGAUAUAAAAAUCAUUUAUAUGCAACCAUAAGAAACGUAAAAGAGAAAGAGGAGUUAGGAUGAGAAAAUUGUACCAAUAUCUUAAUACAUGAAUCAUCUAUCGAUGUUCAAUUAAGGAAAACUAAUCACCCUGGUGACAGUAUACUUAUGCUAUUAUUAGGUUCUUAAAAGAACAGUAAGAUUUAUUAUAUUUGAAAAAUAUAAACAGAAUUGAAAGAUUCGUUGAGUUGAUUGACCUUACCUUUUGCCUCUUAGGAUUUUUUUCUUCAAAUCUUCAACUCAAUUCUUUGAUAGUCUUGUGCUGAAUUUUGAAGUUGAGAGUAGAAAAUGAAUGCUAGAGAAAUAAAAUAAUUGUCCUCCAAACCUUAACUCCAAUCAUGAAUCAAAUGAGUUAGAGAUCUACAAUAGGCAUAGAAACUCUCAAUGAACUUGAGAAUGAGUCGACAUAAAAAUUAGUUCAAGAACUCAAGUAUUAACACAGUAUACCUCCACAAAUAAGUGCAAAUGAUGAAAAUAGAAAAACUUGACAGGAGAUGGAAACGAAAAGUGAUUUUUUUUGUGGCUGAAAAAAAAAGAACAAUCAGAUUGGAUAUGAACAAAAUAUGAACACACAUAAUUUAAAAUUUGAAAAGAAUUCUAAAACAAGUGAAAUUACAAUCAUAAUAUGUUUUCACUAAGAGCUCAAUUCAACCUGAGCAACCAUGAAAUUCAGCUCCAAAAAUGAAAAAUUCAAAGAGAACUUAAAAAGACGAAAUAAAUAAUAAAAAAAAAAAGGCAGAAAAUGAAAGGAAAAAAUCAAACAGAACGUUUAGUGAACGAAAUUAAGAGGAGAAUACCCGACUUGUAAGAAGUUGAACGUAUGAAGAAAAGUGAGUAUUUUUUGAUAUUCUGAAAGUUCCUGGAAUCAAAGAGACGUCUCUGGUCUCUGUUCAAGUAAGCCAUAGAGAAUGGAUACUUGUAGGUAUAAUACCUCGAUCGUUCUUGGCUUCACUCUCUCGAGAGGGUACUCUUUGGUGAUGUUUGGAUUCAUGAUUGGAGUUAGGAAUUGGAGAAAUUUGUGAAGAAAAAAAAGGAAGUUGUAUGAUUGUCGCUAUGGUAAGACACGAUGGACAUGAAAUACCAAAAAGAGUUUAUAUUUUUGGAGAAGAAAAGGUUUAAGAAGAUCACUGAAACUUUGCCUAGAAAGUGACAGACGAACAAUUUGGAAUUAAAAAAAGAAAAGGUUCGUGGUUUGCUAAAAAAAUCUCAUUCAUAGUUAUCAUUUUACCCUUAAAUAAAAAAUUCCCCCAAAUAACAACAAAUUAGCAAAAUGAUGCACUCUAAUUUAGAUUUUUCAUGGGAAAAAAAAACUUUAUCUCCAUUUAGGUAAAGGAUGUACUCUAAUUUAGAUUUUUCAUGAACAAAAAAUAAACUUUAUCUCCAUUUAAGUUUUCACUUUUCUAAAUCUCAAAUCAAGAAACUAUGGUAAUUGAACAAAUAAAGCAAGAAGAAGCGGCUACAUAUGGAUGUUUCUAUAUUUUUCAUUUUAUUACUAAAUCUUGAAUUGGGCAAACCUGAACUUUGAAUAAAGAAAAAAGUUUUUUGAGAUGAACCGAAGGAAAAAACAAAUGAAGAAUUGGGCAAACAUGAAGUGUAAUCCGUUGUGAAGAGUAAGAGACCAUUUUUGAGAGCUGGGCCUGAGGUUGAGAGUAAGAAAAGAGAGAACAGAGGUAUGG
rnacentral:lncRNA from 1 species